GGCGCCAUUUUGUUUUUCAGGGUCCAGGCGGGUCAGUUGGUCCGUUUGGCAGCGGGUGGGAAGGUCGUCGUUGUUUCUUUCUCUCUCUCUCUCUCUGUGAGAGGAGCGGAGAUGUUGCCGUGGGCGAGGAGCCUCUUGAGGCCCGCAACUCGUGGGAUUCAGCAUACUGUGACAAGAAACUUUCGUCGUAGAGGUGAACCUGAUUUUCAUGGGAAAUAUGGCAACCUGAUUCUUAUUAGUAGUGGUCUGUUUUGUGUGGCCGUUUAUACAUAUGCUUUUACAAUAGGAGGGUACGACUUGAAUUUGUCUCCUGUUGGCCGGAUCACACCAAAAGAAUGGAGAGACAAAUAGAGGUGCCUGCCUUUCCUAAACCCUCCUCUCAACGUUGGAAGCAGCCGUACGCUGGCCCUAGGCUGUGAUGAGAAUGUAUCUUAAGCCAUGCCUAGAAGGGCACUAUUCACUCUGUUACCUAUGAUACAAUAAAUGUGUUUAAAAUGUC